rnacentral:rRNA from 1 species
AUUAAUAAGCGGAGGAAAAGAAACUAACAAGGAUUCCCCUAGUAACGGCGAGUGAAGCGGGAACAGCCCAGCACCGAAUCGCACGCCGUUUCGGCGUCGCGAACUGUGGUGUUUAGGACGAGCGCAUGCACGGCGAGACGGUGUCGGAGUCCUCCUGAUCGGGGCUUAUCCAGAGCGGGUGUUAGACCUCUACGGCACCGGAUCGACGUGUCCGCCACGUCCUCGGAGUCGGGUUGCUUGUGAGUGCAGCCUAAAGUGGGUGGUGAACUCCAUCUAAGGCUAAAUACAGACACGAGUCCGAUAGCGAACAAGUACCGUGAGGGAAAGUU